rnacentral:misc_RNA from 1 species
AAGGAUCAUUACAGAGCCCACGGCCGCGUGGGGGCCCGUCCGCCCGCGGGCGGGUCAACCCGGCCACGGCCCCCGACACCUGCCUACCCUCACCGGUUGCCUCGGCGCGAACGCCCGGCCCCAGCGGCCGCGCGCGUCCGCCGCCGGGCCGCGAAGCAGAAACCUUUCAGUGUGGCCGUCUGAGUGAACCACGAAAUACCUAAAACUUUCAACAACGGAUCUCUUGGUUCCG